GUGCUCGCUUCGGCAGUACAUAUACUAAAGUUGGAAUGAUACAGAGAAGAUUAGCAAGACAUUUGCAAAUAUAUUCUCAUAUUCUGUAGGUUGCCUUUUAGUUUU
rfam:Mustela putorius furo unplaced genomic scaffold scaffold00066, whole genome shotgun sequence.